UACAGAGGGUGCAAGCGUUAAUCGGAAUUACUGGGCGUAAAGCGCACGUAGGCGGAUACUUAAGUUAGGGGUGAAAUCCCGGGGCUCAACCCCGGAACUGCCUUUAAUACUGGGUAUCUCGAGUUCGAGAGAGGUGAGUGGAAUUCCGAGUGUAGAGGUGAAAUUCGUAGAUAUUCGGAGGAACACCAGUGGCGAAGGCGGCUCACUGGCUCGAUACUGACGCUGAGGCACGAAAGCGUGGGGAGCAAACAGG
rnacentral:rRNA from 1 species